rnacentral:rRNA from 1 species
AACGAACGCUGGCGGCAUGCCUAACACAUGCAAGUCGAACGGGAUCCAGGCUUCGGCCUGGUGAGAGUGGCGGACGGGUGAGUAACGCGUGGGAACCUGCCCAAUGGUCUGGGAUAACCGCGGGAAACUGCGGCUAAUACCGGAUAAGCCCGAGAGGGGAAAGAUUUAUCGCCGAUGGAGGGGCCCGCGUCAGAUUAGGUAGUUGGUGGGGUAAUGGCCUACCAAGCCUACGAUCUGUAGCUGGUCUGAGAGGAUGAUCAGCCACACUGGGACUGAGAUACGGCCCAGACUCCUACGGGAGGCAGCAGUGGGGAAUUUUGGACAAUGGGGGCAACCCUGAUCCAGCGACGCCGCGUGGAGGACGAAGGUCUUCGGAUUGUAAACUCCUUUUGGAGGGAUGAAUGCCUACGUGAAGAACGUAGGGUGACAGUACUCUCUGAAUAAGCCACGGCUAACUACGUGCCAGCAGCCGCGGUAAG